UGCGUAACGCGUAUGCAACCUACCUUUUACUGGGGGAUAGUCAAGAGAAAUUUUGAAUAAUACCCCAUACGAUCCAAUUCACUCCUGUGAGAUGGAAGAAAACUUCGGUGGUAAAAGAUGGGCAUGCGUCCUAUUAGUUUGUUGGUGAGGUAACGGCUCACCAAGACUACGAUAGGUAGGGGUCCUGAGAGGGAGACCCCCCACACUGGUACUGAGACACGGACCAGACUCCUACGGGAGGCAGCAGUGAGGAAUAUUGGACAAUGGAGGCAACUCUGAUCCAGCCAUGCCGCGUGCAGGAAGACGGCCCUAUGGGUUGUAAACUGCUUUUAUACAGGAAGAAACGUUAGUACGUGUACUAGCCUGACGGUACUGUAAGAAUAAGGAUCGGCUAACUCCGUGCCAGCAGCCGCGGUAAUACGGAGGAUCCAAGCGUUAUCCGGAAUCAUUGGGUUUAAAGGGUCCGCAGGCGGUCUAUUAAGUCAGAGGUGAAAUCCUAUCGCUUAACGAUAGAACUGCCUUUGAUACUGGUAGACUUGAGUUAUUGUGAAGUAGUUAGAAUGUGUAGUGUAGCGGUGAAAUGCAUAGAUAUUACACAGAAUACCGAUUGCGAAGGCAGAUUACUAACAAUAUACUGACGCUCAGGGACGAAAGCGUGGGUAGCGAACAGGAUUAGAUACCCUGGUAGUCCACGCCGUAAACGAUGGUCACUAGCUGUUUGACUAACAUUGGUUAGUUGAGUGGCUAAGCGAAAGUGAUAAGUGACC
rnacentral:rRNA from 1 species